rfam:Triticum aestivum genome assembly, contig: Triticum_aestivum_CS42_TGACv1_scaffold_404213_5BL
UUUAUAUUCUCUCUGUCCAGAAAUACUAGUCGAAGAAAUGAAUGUAUCUAGACGUAUUUUAGUUUUAGAUACAUCUAUUUUUAUUCAUUUCAACGACAAGUAUUUCCGGACAGAGGGAGUACAUC